UAUGAGUGGCGAACGGGUGAGUAACACGUGGGUACCUGCCCUCUUCUUUGGGAUAACGCCCGGAAACGGGUGCUAAUACUGGAUAUUCACUGAUCUUCGCAUGGGGGUUGGUGGAAAGGUUUGUUCUGGUGGGGGAUGGGCUCGCGGCCUAUCAGCUUGUUGGUGGGGUGAUGGCCUACUAAGGCUUUGACGGGUAGCCGGCCUGAGAGGGUGACCGGUCACAUUGGGACUGAGAUACGGCCCAG
rnacentral:rRNA from 1 species